CCUACGGGUGGCAGCAGUGAGGAAUAUUGGUCAAUGGGCGAGAGCCUGAACCAGCCAAGUCGCGUGAAGGAUGAAGGAUCUAUGGUUUGUAAACUUCUUUUAUAUGGGAAUAAAGUGCGGAAUGUGUUCCUUUUUGUAUGUACCAUAUGAAUAAGCAUCGGCUAACUCCGUGCCAGCAGCCGCGGUAAUACGGAGGAUGCGAGCGUUAUCCGGAUUUAUUGGGUUUAAAGGGUGCGUAGGUGGUUAAUUAAGCCAGCGGUGAAAGUCUGUGGCUCAACCAUAAAAUUGCCGUUGAAACUGGUUGACUUGAGUAUAUUUGAGGUAGGCGGAAUGCGUGGUGUAGCGGUGAAAUGCAUAGAUAUCACGCAGAACUCCGAUUGCGAAGGCAGCUUACUAAACUAUAACUGACGCUGAGGCACGAAAGCGUGGGGAGCAAACAGGAUUAGAUACCCGAGUAGUC
rnacentral:rRNA from 1 species